rnacentral:lncRNA from 1 species
CCGGGCCUCGGGGACCGCGCAGGGCGAGGCCCGGGCUGUCCUCCUCCCGUGCCACGUCGCUAGAGCCGAGCGACAAGAAGGCGACGCUGAACGCCAUCCCCAGGUCCUGUCGAAACUCCGGGCUCUGAACAGGUCCCAGCGCCCCGGUCCAAGAAGCCGCAGACCUUUUCCCGGAUUUGUCAUUCAUCUGCAGUGGUGGAAAAUUCUGGAUCUUAAUCAGUGGUGACCAUGCUUCAGCCUCUGGUCAAGCCAGGACCUUCAGCCUCUGGAAGACCUGGACUCUAAGCACCUGAUUUUAUGAGAAGUUAUCUAGGAGGUGUGGAGAAACUCCCCUCAGGUCUUUUUGAAGCUGCUCUCAGCCUGUUCUCCCAGCUUACCUCUAUUCCUCUCUGCCACCCACUAACCUAAGAAGCACUCCCUAGGCAACCCACAGCCGCACUUUCCUAUGAUCCAGAGAAGGUAAUAGACGCCAAGGUCUCAUUCAACAAAGACCAGACCAGACCAGAAAUCAGCAUCUACUGGCACCUCAAUCAUGUUACGCCCCAAUGCCUACACACCAGUGCAAAAAACACAAUGAUUACUACCCUAGGCAAUAUGCCUCCACCUGAACCCAGGAACCCUACCCUACUAUAGUAAGCCAUAAGAAAGGCAAUAUAGC